AUGCUGUUCCAACUGAGCUACGCGGUCAAGACGGUUCGAGUCUUGACCGCGUAGCUCAGUUGGAACAGCAU